CACCAAUAACAAUAACCAUGUGAUAUAUCACAUUUCAUUUUUCUAAAACAUGAACAACAUUAAUCUCACAUUAAUUAAUUAACAAUCAUGGUAACAAUUGCAUAAACGAGCUUUACUUCCACUCAGAAAUUGACAAAUUGAAUCUGAAUAUUUUUCCUGGAACUUGUCAAUACAUUUUUGUUUACAACAUGGUUGGUCACAACUUGUGCCACAGGUGCCCAAAGCAGUAACCAAGCAUGGCCUUUUUGGUAUUGUGUCUUUGUUUGCUACCACCAUUGGACCU
rnacentral:lncRNA from 1 species